rnacentral:rRNA from 1 species
AUUGAACGCUGGCGGCAGGCCUAACCCAUGCAAGUCGAACGAGUGGCGGACGGGUGAGUAAUGUCUGGGAAACUGCCUGAUGGAGGGGGAUAACUACUGGAAACGGUAGCUAAUACCGCAUACUAUCAGAUGUGCCCAGAUGGGAUUAGCGAGUAGGUGGGGUAACGGCUCACCAAGGCGACGAUCCAUAGCUGGUCUGAGAGGAUGAGCAGCCACACUGGAACUGAGACACGGUCCAGACUCCUACGGGAGGCAGCAGUGGGGAAUAUUGCACAAUGGGCGCAAGCCUGAUGCAGCCAUGCCGCGUUUAUGAAGAAGGCCUUCGGGUUGUAAAGUACUUUCAGCGGGGAGGCGUUACCCGCAGAAGAAGCACCGGCUAACUCCGUGCCAGCAGCCGCGGUAAUUC